rnacentral:rRNA from 1 species
GAUGAACGCUGGCGGCGUGCCUAAUACAUGCAAGUCGAGCGAACGGACGAGACGCUUGCUUCUCUGAUGUUAGCGGCGGACGGGUGAGUAACACGUGGAUAACCUACCUAUAAGACUGGGAUAACUUCGGGAAACCGUAGCUAAUACCGGAUAAUAUUUUGAACCGCAUGGUUCAAAAGUGAAAGACGGUCUUGCUGUCACUUAUAGAUGGAUCCGCGCUGCAUUAUCUAGUUGGUAAGGUAACGGCUUACCAAGGCAACGAUGCAUAGCCGACCUGAGAGGGUGAUCGGCCACACUGGAACUGAGACACGGUCCAGACUCCUACGGGAGGCAGCAGUAGGGAAUCUUCCGCAAUGGGCGAAAGCCUGACGGAGCAACGCCGCGUGAGUGAUGAAGGUCUUCGGAUCGUAAAACUCUGUUAUUAGGGAAGAACAUAUGUGUAAGUAACUGUGCACAUCUUGACGGUACCUAAUCAGAAAGCCACGGCUAACUACGUG